AGGACGAACGCUGGCGGCGUGCUUAACACAUGCAAGUCGAGCGGAAAGGCCUUUCGGGGUACUCGAGCGGCGAACGGGUGAGUAACACGUGAGUAAUCUGCCCAUCGCUUCAGGAUAGCCAUCGGAAACGGUGAUUAAUACUGGAUAUGACAUUCCUUCGCAUGUUGGGGUGUGGUAAAGUUUUUUCGGCGGUGGAUGUGCUCGCGGCCUAUCAGCUUGGUUGGUGGGUAAUGGCCUACCAAGGUCUUUGACGGGUAGCCGGCUGAGAGGGUGACCGGCCACGACUGGGACUGAGACACGGCCCAGACUCCUACGGGAGCAGCAGGUAGGGAAUAGUUAGGACAAGUGGGACGGAAGCCGUGGAUCCGAGCGAACGGCCGCGGU
rnacentral:rRNA from 1 species